rnacentral:misc_RNA from 1 species
AGGUUACGGCGAGUGGCUGAGUGAUACUUGGAGAAAACAUAUUGAGUUUGGAAUUUGUUAUAAGUGACACGUGCGGCGCGUAGCAGCCAACGAGUGGAUGGAACAAGGGCGCGUGUUGGCGAAAAAUAAUCAAAUUAGCUAAGCGAGCUAGCACCACGCUUGACCAAGUUUUGCCCGUUUUAUGGUGGUUCGGAUUCUUCAUUAAAGCGCGGGCGAGCAGAACGUUAAUACGGAAUAGGUGCGAUGCAAUUCCCCUCAGCAUGACCAUCGUGGGUGAAAAACUUGCAAGAAAGUAUUCACAGCCGUCGUAGUCGGGGCGCUGCAGGUGAUCGCAGUGGAACAACUGUGAACAGAACGCAAUCAGUACCUGGGAGCAUUUCUUAUCACGAGUCCCAUACCACCCACACCUCGGUCUGGAGGGGGAAGCGUACUGAAGGUGUGUAGCAGCAUCAUGCUGGGCAGCAUGGAAUCGAAGCACAAAGCCUGUUGAGCUGUGUAAAAGUACAAGGUGUUCUAGAGAACCCCGCCUGCGUUGCCAAGAAAAGGGGCGAGUGCAAAGUGCAAGAGCGAAAGCCGCAACCGACGUUCCCGAGACAUACCAAGCUACCACCCCUGCCUCCUCUCAAUGUGGACACCGCCGGCGUAGAACCCAGAACCAGAGCAAGAAUAGAGUCGCGCCGCACUUCCGCCAUGGCCGCCGCAGUCGAGGAAGCGGUCUUCAACGCGCUCCGGGGCCACCACAACGAGAAGACGAAGCUGCCGACGCCCCGCAUUAUCAAGAUUUAUGUUGCAAGUUUGAAGGAAGACUUCAAAGAGGAGCGCCGCCAGCUGCUGGAAGUGAUUGGACCCGAUUUGCAGUCGGUUUACGACGAUCGACAAAUUGAGGUGGAGUUUGUGGACAUCCACUUUGGCACCGGUAGCAACGAACAUGGCCUGGUGGACCUGGAUCCGUACGUUCUGGAUGAUCACCUGCACGAAAUUGAGACCUGCCAUCGGGUGUCCAAAAGUGUUUUCCUAAUCGUAUUGUUGGGAUCACGUUUGGGCAACUUUUUGCUCCCGACCCGGCUGGAUGCGGAAGUUUUCACGGCAAUCAGCAAGCGUGCCACGGCGGGCGAGUUUGACCGGCUCCGGAAGUGGUACCACCAGGAGGAAAAGGAACCGUCCGGCGGAUUCGUGCUGCAAACGCAAUACCUGUCGCUGGAUCGCCCGGAAUGGAUUGCGGAAAGUCGGCAGCUGAGUGAGAUUCUCGAGUGCAAAAUCGAUGAGAUUCUCGAGGCAUUCCAGGACGAUGGCGGAGGAGGAGGGCUGGACGGACUCACCAUAAUCGAUGGCGAACGGUUCUGUGAUAAUCUUAAGCGACUGAAAACCAGAGCCCUCGAGUGGGAAAUUCAGAAGGGAUUAGCCUGCUCGAAGGAGAACGUUUUGGCAAUUUUUCGCCACUGGGAGCCGGAAACCGCCGGAACCACCGAGUCCGGUCGAGUGGAGCAAAUAAAAGCCACCCUGACGGAGGCCCUGCCUGAUGACAAUCGAGAAACGCUAACGGUCCCCUGGGCAAAGGGCGGCAUCGACCCGGAGCUGGACAGCCACGAGCGUUACCUGGGCCGGUUCAAAUCGAGGGUCUACGAAAAGCUACAGCGCGCCAUCGAUCAAAGUCUGUCCAAGGAGCCGAACGGGGGCAAGGGUCGGAAAAAGACUGUGCAGGAAAUCUUUCACGAGCACUCAACCCACCUAAUCUACUUGAACGAGCACUUGAGCGCCAACAAAUACAUAUCAUCUAAAAUCCCGGACCGGAUACGGCAAAAUGUGCAGCAGAACUUCAGAGGCGGUAGCCGGCAUCCGCCGUACUUCCUGCACGGUGGCCACGGCAGCGGCAAAAGCACACUGUUGUCACACAUCUACAGCCAGGUCAGCGACUGGUUCGAGCACGUGAAGGUGCACCGUUUGAUCCGAUACGCGGCGGCCACACCCCGCUCAGCCUACAAUCUGGAACUGUUGCGGGUCAUCUGUCAACAGCUGGCAAUUAUCCUCAACAUCCCGGAGGGCUACCUCCCAAAGGAUGCGUCCUUUGAUCCGCUGUACAUCAAUAAUUGGUUCCAGAAUCUGUUGAAACACUGCGAGGACUUGCACAACGAGAUACUGUUCCUGUUCAUCGACGACCUGCACAAGCUGAACCCCCUGGACUGCGACAUCGUGGCCGCCCUGUCCUGGCUGCCCAUCAGCCUGCCGUGGAACGUGUUUCUCGUCGUGUCCACCACCGUCCCCAUCGAAUCACUCAAACUGACGCCCAUCCAGAAGGAACGCUUCAAAUACUCGGACUACUUCUACGACCUGGCCCUGGAGCAGAACGAAACCCUCGUUCGAAAGGUGAACGAGUCCGAGUCGUUUGAGGAGUACGUGAACGGCAUCUUCGACGUGAUGGAGCACCGCUUCGGGGUCAAGGGCUUCAGCCGGCUGGCCAUCUACAUCACCUGCUCCGAGUACGGGCUGACGGAGACGGAGUUUCUCGAGCUGCUGAUGCCCACCCAGGACUCGGAGGCGUUCAUCGAUUCGCGGAACGGUGGCUUCAACUUUUCCACCUUCCUCACCGCCCGGAACGUGAUGAGGCCGCUGCUGCGGGAAAAGCUAAUGUCCGGAAAGCUGCUGAUCGUGUGGCGGCACGGGCUCUGCUCGGACAUCACCAAAGUGCGCUACAUGACACCGGAAAUUUCCCGGGCCGUCCAUUCGGAAAUUGUGAAUUUGUUUUUCCCACCGGACAGCGAUGAAAGCGACGAGAUCUCGAGCGAACAGCACAGCAGAAAGUCCAGCAUCCAGACCCAGCAGGACGACAACGUGACGCAGAUCAUCACACUGGGGCCGGACAUUUCCUACAGCAUACGCCACGUGGAGGAGUCCUGGCAUCAUUUAAUUAAAUCCGACGACACAAAAAAGCUCAAAGAGAUUGCGGUGUGCAAUUUCGACUUUCUACUGGCGGCCGUGCAAACGGUGUCAAUAAGCUACCUCAGGUGCUUAAUUGAGCACGUGCGGUGCUACAUUCUGGACCGGGACAUCGAACUCGUGUACUACACCAUCCGGAAGUCGAGCGACGUGCUCACGCGGGACCCGAUGCAGCUGGGGGCGCAGUUGAUAUCCUGGCUCAAGUCGGUGGCAGCGCACGAGGGUCCCCAGGCGCUGCUCAGCGUAACGGUUCAAUCAGCGACGGCCUGGUGCGACGGGUAUACGGUACCGCUGCUGGUGCCCCUCACGGGAUGGCUUCCGGUGCCGCUGCCGUCGCAGAUCCGCUGCAUGACCGUACCGGGCCCGGGACCGGUUCGGUGUAUCGAGGUUUCGCCCUCCAAGCAGCACCUAAUCCUCUCGCCCAAAGUGGGCGACCCGCAGCUGUGGCACAUCAUGAGCAACAGUUUGGUUCACACGUUCAAGGGACACAGCGGCCCAGUGACGUACAUGAAGGUCCAGUCGCAGUACCUUCUCACAGCAUCCGAGGAUACAUCUGUUAUCGUUUGGGACAUGCAAACACUGGCGAUGAAAUUGAGAUUAUGCGAACACAUAGCGCCAGCGGCCUGUGUCACAUUAGCGCUGGAUAACAAAUACAUCAUCAGCUGCAGUGACGACUCCAGCAUCAUCAUCGCGCUGUUCGAGAGUGGAAAGGUGGUAACCAAAAUCGAUCACCACCGGGGUCCGGUUACGGCCGUGCACGUGGCCAUGCCCAGCGAGGUGCUGGUUUCGUCCAGCCACGACGGAACCGUGUGCCUGUGGUCAUUGGAGAACUUUUCGCUGCUGAACUGCAUCCAGUUGCCACAUCCGGUGCACAACAUCCAAAUAUCCUGUGAUUCGAUCUUCCUGGUGGCGUACUGUUCGGACAACGGGCUCUACCUGCGGGCACUCGCGACUGGAACUGAGCUGCACGCCCUCAAAGGACACAAAACGAAGGUUCGCGCCAUGUGCAUCGCCAUGGACAGCCAGCGGGCCAUCGUGGGCUGCGAAGAUCUGCGGGCCCACAUCUACGACAUGCACUCGGGGCGUAUCAUCCGGUCGUUACCGCCCAACCCGGGCCCCGUAACGGCGGCGUACGUGAUGGCCAAGGACGACUACCUGAUCACGGCCGGGGGCAACAAGAUUACGUUCUACUCGUUCCGCAACGAGGACUCCAUUGUCAAUUUCUACCCGAAGAAGAAGAAAACGAUGAAGAAGAUAUCGAAGAGCCGCGCCGCACUGGCGGCCACUUCGAGUGCCGUAAUUUGCUUCGACAUUUCGCGGGACUCGACGAUGGCGGCCGUGGCCUCGAGCCGGUGCAUCCAGAUAUGGCAGCUUAACGGGCCGGAGUUGACUGCGAUUCUGGAGGGGCACAGCGGAACGGUGACUUGCGUGAGCUUUGCGCCAAACUGUGAGUUUGUCGUUUCCGGGUCGGAGGACAAGACUGUCAACGUGUGGAAUUUGGCUUUGGGGUCGGUGACGGCCACCUUCAAGGGUCACAACACGUUUGUUACGUCGGUUACUUUUAUGAUGGACUCGAGGCGGAUCAUCUCGGCCGACAGAGACAGCUGCCUGUUUGUUUGGAUGAGCGAUUCCGGAACGAUACUGCAGAGCGUGCAGGGUCCGUUCAAGUGUCUGGCCGUAACGAACAACAUGAAGUUUGCGGUUUGCACCAACGGGGAUUCCAGCUUGCGGAUAUGGUCCCUCACGAGGGAGGACGAGAAGUUUACGGUUUCACACUCUGGAGAAAUAACGAGCUUCAUUAUUACGGCUGAUUCGCUGUAUUUGAUCUCCGGAUCGAAGGAUAUGUCGCUGAAGGUGUGGCAGGUGUCCGGUGGAAAGCUAGCCCAAGUUCUGGUGGGACACUCGGACGCGGUUACCUGCGUGGCUGUUUCCGUCACCAACAAGAACCAGGUCAUCUCCGGAUCAAAGGACACGAAUCUAAUCAUUUGGGAUAUUCACACGGGUGAGGAGAUUCACACGUUGGCGGGUCAUUUGGCACCGGUGACGUGCGUGAAGGUUUCAGCCGAUGGAACCACGGCCGUUUCCGGCAGCGACGACAAGACACUCAUCGUCUGGGAGAUGAAGCGAGGUCUUGCGCUGACUUCGCUCCAGCUGCACGUCCAGUUUACCCGGUUUGACAUCAGCCUCGAAUGCUCCCGGAUAGUGGUCCAGCUGGUGGACAGUUCGUGUCUUCCGGUCAUUUGCUUGCACAACUCACCUGCCUCGUACAUUAAGCUCCCAACGUACUCGGCCCCGGCCCGGGACGUCGAAGAUCUGCGGCCCGCCGGCCCGAAGCGACCUGCUCGGCGACUCCUCAAGAAGGAGGUCUCGCUCGACACCUACACCUGGCAGAAGAAGUACGCCCAUCUGACGUCGUCCGUCAUGAUGGCUCAGGUGGACGAAAGACUGAAACGACGCUUCUCGGUGUCCGCCAGCAUGGAGGAGAUCUCCAAGCUGGCCGAAGCCAAGAGCACGGAAUCCCAAGCAAACAUUGGCCCCGAACAGGCAGCGCUCGCCCAGUCGCAGCACUUUGACCAGCUGGAGGCGCUGUGGAACAAGCGGUCACCGCCGCGAAGAAGGAUGAAUCCGUCCCUCUCGCGCCAGUCAUCCCUCGUCGAGGACCGCAUCGACUCGUCGGACGAGGACGAGUUCCUGGAGGAGCGCGCAGCUUAGAUCUUACCGACCAAGUUGUAGUUAGUAGAAAGAGGUGUUGUAAGCGCUUGUGGUCACACGUACUAGCGGAUUAAGCAAAUGUUAAAACUAAGUAAAAGUUACCAUAAUAAAGCAUUUUUAAACUAGUUUUAUAGGUCAACUUGGCACAACUCGCGCAAAACAUACAUUCCAGCUCAGUUUUCCGUUCUCCCAAGCGACUGCAGCGCCGCACAGUGGCAAACACUGCGAAGCUUUUGGAAAAACUUCCACGCGAAAGCUCCAACAUUAUCAAAGAUGGCCAUGCGCAAGCACCACCCAAAUCACACACACACACGCAGAUACAAUCACCUUCCCCUCCGUAGUCAGGAAAAGAGCUUUCCUGAUGGAUAAAACGUUCCCACCAAGCAGAAAAAAAACGAAAAAAACAGAGUUAAACUUUCAUGCGAAACCAAAUCGAUGCAAAAAUGAGAGCAGCAAAAAUUCAUGCGGAAGGAUAGUUUAAAACCAAUGAUAACAAAAUCGAACACAACAAAAAAAAAAUCGUGAAAGCUCACAAGAAAGGCCGUGAAAUUAUGUACUAUUGGAAACUUACUCUGUAAGCAGAUCACAUGCGGACACACAACGAGGUGUGUUGUGUUGUGUGUAUGGUAAGCAGGGCACGGAUUUAAGUCAGAAUUUUCUAAGCAAAAAAGUAAAAACGGUGAACGUGAUGGAAAUUAAGUAUAACGUUGUAUCGAGGCAAAAUAUCUUCAGCACUGAAAUAAAAACUCCGAACAAUUACGGUAAUUGCUUAGUCUUAAUUGGGUUAUAUUUAAUAUUUUUAAAUGUCGAGGACUAUUUUAGCUUGGCCCCCAAAACUUCUGUCAACAAUUCCUCACAAACAAAUACAAUCUUCUUAUAAUUUUGUAAGCCUUCCAUUACCUACCUAAAUAACCAAAAAAAUUUAAAUGAUUUCCUGAUCCACUUGAUUCUUCAGGUUAAGAUGUCAUUCCCAUUUAAUUUGCAACACCAGGCAUUGAAAAGUUUGACAAAACCCUGGCGAUAUCUCAAGACAGGAUUGCCAGAUUCCCAAAUUAUAUGAAGUAUCAGACAGGUUUUCUGAAUUCUUAUCCAACAAUGAUCUGGUACAAAUUUA